GAUGAACGCUGGCGGCGUGCCUAACACAUGCAAGUCGAGCGAACGGACGGGAAGCUUUCGCCUCUGAUGUUAGCGGCGGACGGGCGAGUAACACGUGGAUAACCUACCUCUAUGACUGGGAUAAUUUCGGGAAAACGGAGCUAAUACUGGAGGAUAUUUUGAACCGCAGGGUUCAAAAGUGAUAGACGGUCUUGCUGUCUCUUAUAGAUGGUUUCGGGCUGCAUUGGCUAGUUGGUAAGGUAACGGCUUACCAAGGCAACGAUGCAUAGCGGAUCUGAGAGAGUGAUCGGCCACACUGGAACUGAGGCACGGUCCAGACUCCUACGGGAGGCAGCAGUAGGGAAUAUUCCGCGAUGGGCGAAAGCCUGACCGAGCAACGCCGCGUGAGGGAUGAAGGUCUUCGGAUCGUAAAGCGCUGUUGUUAGGAAAGAACAUAAGUGUAAGAAACUGUGCACAUCUUGACGGUACCUAAACAGAAAGCCACGGCUAACUACGUG
rnacentral:rRNA from 1 species